rnacentral:rRNA from 1 species
AUUGAACGCUGGCGGCAUGCCUUACACAUGCAAGUCGAACGGUAACGCGGGGCAGCCUGGCGACGAGUGGCGAACGGGUGAGUAAUGUAUCGGAACGUGCCCAGUUGUGGGGGAUAACUGCUCGAAAGAGCAGCUAAUACCGCAUACGACCUGAGGGUGAAAGCGGGGGAUCGCAAGACCUCGCGCAAUUGGAGCGGCCGAUAUCAGAUUAGGUAGUUGGUGAGGUAAAGGCUCACCAAGCCGACGAUCUGUAGCUGGUCUGAGAGGACGACCAGCCACACUGGGACUGAGACACGGCCCAGACUCCUACGGGAGGCAGCAGUGGGGAAUUUUGGACAAUGGACGCAAGUCUGAUCCAGCCAUGCCGCGUGCGGGAAGAAGGCCUUCGGGUUGUAAACCGCUUUUGUCAGGGAAGAAACGCUCUGGGUUAAUACCUCGGGGUGAUGACGGUACCUGAAGAAUAAGCACCGGCUAACUACGUGCCAGCCGCCGCAGUAA